rnacentral:rRNA from 1 species
GACGAACGCUGGCGGCGUGCUUAACACAUGCAAGUCGAACGGAAAGGCCCUGCUUUUGUGGGGUGCUCGAGUGGCGAACGGGUGAGUAACACGUGAGUAACCUGCCCUUGACUUUGGGAUAACUUCAGGAAACUGGGGCUAAUACCGGAAAGGAGCUCCUGCCGCAUGGUGGGGGUUGGAAAGUUUCGGCGGUUGGGGAUGGACUCGCGGCUUAUCAGCUUGUUGGUGGGGUAGUGGCUUACCAAGGCUUUGACGGGUAGCCGGCCUGAGAGGGUGACCGGCCACAUUGGGACUGAGAUACGGCCCAGACUCCUACGGGAGGCAGCAGUGGGGAAUAUUGCACAAUGGGCGGAAGCCUGAUGCAGCAACGCCGCGUGCGGGAUGACGGCCUUCGGGUUGUAAACCGCUUUCGCCUGUGACGAAGCGUGAGUGACGGUAAUGGGUAAAGAAGCACCGGCUAACUACGUG